GGUCGUGACGGCCGCUCCGGUUCCUCAGGCAGCGUUUGCUUCUUUCGGCUACGGAGGGAUCUGCAGAAAACAGAAGAGCUUGAGAGGCAGAGGGUAGACCAUGCUCAGCUCUAACUGUAAACAUACUGUACUGGGUACCAAAGGAAUGAAGCCUUGCUAACUGAAGGCUAUGUCAUAAAUAGGAGAUGCUGAUUAGAGGUUGUGAACCUGCUCCUCAUCUGCAAAUCAUUCCCCUUAACUGCUGAAGGCACUGGGUGAAGGGAGUCUGCUUUAUCGACUGUUUGGUACGGAACACUGCUGGCUGAAUAUUGUAUAUGAACAAGCAAGACAGACUGAAAUCUCAGAGAGCUCUUUCCUCGCAAAUGUCUCUGCGUGGCUUACAGGACAGAAUAUGAGAAUAACCCAGCACAAGACAGUGUGAAAGGAAACCUGAAUCUAUUUACUGUUAAGAAGCCCCGAACUGAACUGACAGGUACGGAAUGUAACAUUGCUCCAAAGGCUUGGCAUGCUGAUAUUGUCUUUGUGUAUUUGAAGUAUUUCCUCUGGCCUUCAGAGUGUUCAUAUCAUCCAGAAUGCACAGCACUGUGACCGUCCUUUGGAAGGAGCAGACCUGACAACCAUCAACUUAUCUGCACUGUGUCAGAGGAACCACCAGUUUGACAGCAAUCCAUAUCCAGUGCAUGCAGGACCUUCAAAAGAAAUUUCUCUGCUACAGUCACAUAUUUGUCACGUUUCAUUUGCAAGUAUCAAGGUAAGGAGCCAAGCAAGAAUGUAUUCAUAUUCAAGCUUAUUUUCUACCUUAAUAUUUUGCGCAGUUGGUAUCUCUUUAUGUAUAUAUUUGCUGUAGAACAUCAGGUUUCACUUCUAGACCUUGUCUCGACUGCUGGCCAUAAGUCUUCCACAAACUGCAAACCAUUUUGCUACAUAAAACAGCAUGCUCUUUUAGGACAGAGAGAAAGAAAGACUAUAUAACCUUGCAGGAGUCAGCAGGUGGCUUGCGUUAUUAGUCAACUCUAGCUCCAGCAGAGCUGGAAAACACAGCUGUCCUGUAUGCAUGUGCCUUGAAAGCUUGGUUCAAUCAGGGACCAUAGUACUGUUCAGCUCUCUGUUCUCUCUGUGGUGUUCUUGUUUGUCACUGAUUGUGAAACUUAAUUUAUAGAAAAGCUUUGUGAUCUCAAAUGAAUAAUUAGCAAUGUUCAAAUACUUUUUCAUAGAACAUGCAUUAGAGGGUUGGAUUUUUCUGUAUUCUGCUAAAUUAUGUAUGUGUUUAUGUGAGAUAGCACUAAUCAGAAACUAUUUUUUUCCCCUUAGAAAUUUGUGACUUUCUAAAAUGAGGGGAAAAAUGGAAAUAGUCAUUAGAAAUUAUACUUACAAAUAUCUUUACAGUUCAAUGUGCAAAUCUUUAGUUUGGGUUUUAAAAAAGAAAAAGUUUAAUUUGGAGAGCAAUAAUACAUGUUAUUUGUCAUAAAUGCAGUAUGAACUUAAUGCACAUGAAUCUGAAUUGUUCAUUUAGUCAGUUAUAAAUGUUAUUAAAAAAUAUACAGCUGUGAAAUGAUGGGAAUCAUUCCAAUUAUCAUCAUGAGGCUGUCAGCUCUGUACUUCCAGACAGGCUCAUCACAGUGCACAGCCUGUCUUGCGGAAGGGGAAUUGUAGCGGUAUAUAAGUAUGAAGUGGCAGAAGAACAAAACAUUCUGCUUUUUUAGUUGAGUAUGAUGUAUAGGAGCAGAAUAUACAUAUAGAUAGCACUUGCUCAGGCAGUUUUGUGAGAUUUGAAAAAGAUAACAAUCUCCUAAGGUUUUUUAUGUCUAGACUUAUUUGCUCAAUUGUUAAAUAAAUGCUGUGUGUUAAUGCUAUUAUGAGGGUUGCUACAAAGUAACCGUACUGGCUUUAUGUAAGUUGCAUGACUGGAGAUUCUGCUUGGAUGCUGGGAAAAAUUUCCUCUCAGAAAGAGAGGUGAGGUGCUGGAAUAGGCUGCCCAUGGAGGUGGAGGAGUUACUGUCCGUGUUCAAGAAGAAGGUAGGUGGCACACUGGGUGACAUGGUUUAGUGGUACAGCGGUGAUGGAUUGACAAGUUGGACUAGAUGAUCUUAGUGGUCUUUCCAGCCUUGACUGUAUAAUGCUUUCUAUAUUUUGAUGUUGACCUAUGACAUCAGAGGCAGAAAGGCAGCUUGUAUGCAAUUUGUAUGACAGUGGCAUGCAGACUCUUGUUCAGCAGUAGCUAUGCAUUUCCACUGGCAGAGGUGCUACGUUGAAAAACUGUUUUUUAACUGAGAAUUUGCUUUAUCAAAUUGUGUUACUGAGCUCCAUGGAAAUAAAUAGGAAGCAUUACUUUUUGAGAGAUCUAAGUUGCAACACGCACAAAAUUAUCUUGCUGUUUUAAGAGAGCAUACCUCUCUAUAGUCAUUGCUUCUGCUGUGAUAUCUCAAUUAGCUAGUAGUGUUGUGCUGUGUAGUCUUUACAGUGACCUUCAGCAGUCAAAUGCUUGUCCUUUCCGAAAAGCUUACUCGUACCUCUUGAUGAAUAGAGUACAGCGUACACUUACCUACAACAAAGAUAACUAAUGUUCACAGGUAUUUUAAUUGGUCUUUCAAUUUUGCUUCUUUAUCUUCACUGUGUGUGGUUAGAUGCUUAGUGUUAACACUGCGAAUGAUUCACUGUGGCACUUAAAGCAGUUGGACUAGGAGAAUUCUGUAUUUUUUUUUGCGUAUUUUUUAGAACCAGAUAACUAUGUUGGCUUAGAACUUCUACUUGGAUAAUAUCUAUCUGUUAUGACCAGAACAGUCCAAGGUAUAUUAGCAGAGCAUUUAGAACAUUUUUAAGUGAAACAGCCUUCAUAUCUUGCAGAGGGUGGAAUUGCUAUCACGUUGUAAUGAUAUCUUAGAAGUGAUACGAAAUUUGUUUUUGCCUCACCCAAUACAGUUGCUGGCACUUCUAAGUAUUGCAUGGAUACCUGUGCUGUAAGGGCAUUUUCUCUUUCAAGAAAAAUGUAACAGAAGUAGUUUUGGAAUCCCUGUGUACUCAUCUGCAGAGAUUAGGUAGCUAUCUUAGGUUUACUUUAAGGCACAAAAUAGCAUGUUUUUAUGCAUGUGUUGUGGAUAUCUUGUCACUUCUGGAUUUGGAUGACUAGCUUUUCCAUCUUUUUCUAUAUAUUUAUAUCAAAAUGUAUGAAAUUGCUAAAUGUAAGGUUUGAACUCUGUAGUUUGAGUAUCACAGAAAAGCAGCCAGUGGCAGUAGGCACAGGUAAGGAACAGUAAGCCACACUCUUAAUUGCAGUAAAUAGGAACAAAAGAAUAUUAGCAGCUUUAGUUAAGAAAAAAAACCUACAACAAAGAAAAGAAAAAACACCGCCAAAACAGUACAUUUACUAGCAGUUACUUGCAAUUAGAGUAUAUACUAGAUAGUAUAGCUACUCCUGCACACUAGAAUUCUAUUAAAUGGAUUAUUAAAUUGUACUAUUGAACUAUUAAAUUGUAACUAGAAUAAGCUAAAAAUACUGUAUCAUAGCUCAAAAGAACUAAAAUUAACAUUUAUAACCUCAUUUCUGUCAGGUUAUUACUUUCCAUUUGAAAACAAGUUAUGGAUAAGAGGACAUUGCAACUCAUUGCAACAGUAAAGCUUUUAAUCAACUGUAAAUUACUGUUCCCACCUCCAAUUUUUUUUUUUGUGCCAUUCUAGAUUUUAAUCAUCUAGUAUAACAAGGAAACUAUAAAUAUGUCGAUUAGUAAACAAAAUCUCUGAAUUUAUGCCAAAUGUGAUACUGAGCUCCUUUCCCAAACUAUAAGCUAGCUAAUAGCAAAGAAGCAAGCUAUUUGUUUGCCCAUCUAAAACUUUUAUCAUGUCAAGAUGCAAAUUUUCUGUACGCCUUUAAGAAGAAGUCUGCUGAAAGAGAGAUGUGCUGGCAUGUCAGCUAUAAGCCAUACCUUCAGUUCAUGCAAAUGUAAAAUCUAAGAUUAGCUGAAAAUGGAACACAAUGGAGACAGUUCAUGCGUUAUGUAAAACUUUGUGCUUGUGUUUUUAACAGCCAAGGGUGGAAUCUUACUUGAAUAAGUAAGUAAGUUAAUACAUUCUUGAAGCAGUUAUGCUUCAUUUUAGGACCAAGUAAACCAGAUAAUGUUAGACAGCUUAAGUUUAAUGGAUUUUACUUAAGGUAAUGCAUAAGAAACACCCACCUUCACAGUUUCUGAUCACUGACAAGUUCACAGGAUUCCUGUAUAUUUCACUUGGAAAUAGAUGGCUAAAUGUAAUGUUCACUGUAGUUAGAAAUGUACUUAACCCAGUAACGUAAAACUCAUGACCUGCAGCAGUGCAGGUGAAGACCUGCAAUGGCCCACUGCGACUGUACUUGCUUCUGUACUAGAACUGCUGUGCCCCCAUGCUGCUAAGGCUGGUGUCCAUGCUGAGGUGUAACAAGGUGAGUAGUAACUUAAUUCAAGUUGCAGUAUAAAUGUUCAUGUACUUCGGCAUUCCUUUUAUCUACGUUUCAGUGGUUUAGUCAUCAGCUGAGUUUAGCUAUUACACAUCAAGAAACACAAUUCUAUGGCUCGAAAACAUGCAUACUAUUCAUACCACUGUACAGACACCAUCAGCCCUAUGUGAAGGAAAAAAAAAACAACGCAGAAAAACCAACAAGUCAACCAAAAAAUUCAUUCAUUCCUUCUAUGACUUGCCUUGUUGCUGGUCUUGAUGGAACAAAACAGCUUCUGCACAGCUAAGCAAUUUGGACCUUAUUUGGUUGGGGUUUAGUUGAAAGCCAAUGGAAUGAAAAUAUGCAUUCAUGUUAGUCUCUACUCUGGUUCUGAUGGAACAGAAUUUUUUUGUCCCCACUAAAUAUUAAGUUAGUUAGUAAAGAAUUUUAAGAGCAAGGUUACUCUAGAAAUGCAGCACCUUUACUAUACAUUACAAGGAGAAUUUUAAACACCAAAUAAACAAACAAAUACUAAAUUGCAGUGACUUUCUCCUUGAGUUAAUACUUCAUUAACUCAUAGGCUUUCACUGACGCUUUUAACUAUUUCCAUAUUUGAAUACAUACGUGAAAGUUAUUACUACUUUUAUACAAAUGUAAUGUUCAACUAUUAUUCUAAAAUAAUUAGAAUAUUAUUCUAAAAUAAUUAGAAUAUAGGAAAUAUUCUAUUGAAUGCAAAUAUAGUAUUUCUUUCUGCAAAUAAAAUGCAUGAUGACACAUAUGAAAGAGGUAAGUGAAAAAUAAGGCACAACCAAAAAAUAACUUUUCACAUUUUUUUUCUAUUUCACCCUUAGUGGAACAAUAAAUACAAUGGCAUAGCUUCUAUUCAUCUUAUUUACACAGUACAAUACUUGAAUGUUACCGGGUUUCCAGCCCAAACGUUUUGUGACGUUAACAGGAGUAUGUGCUGCAGCAUUUCUACAGCCAAGCACUUCAGGAGAUCAUCACAAAGAAAAAACAAUACAUAGAAUAGCUGUUAAAUACAAUAAUAAACGGAGGGAACUCUGCAGCAGAGAAUCAACUUGUGGCAUUUACUAAUUGAUGACAGUAGCAUUAAAAAUAGACAUUCCCUUUAACUCAUAACUAACAUGCCAGUUACUUAUACAAAGUCUAAAAUGAGCAUUUCUGUAGCCUCCUUCUUAAUGAUACAGUAAAUGUUCACUAACAAAAAAGAACAAUAAUAGAUAACUGUCUGCCUGUUGAAAAGAACCUCACAGCCCCCAAAAGCUUUCUUACAUUCCAGACAAUACAGGCAAUGACUACAAUAUUCCAUAAAGUAGAAAAUAGACCACAGGACAAAAUCUCAGCAUAAAGAUUUGAUGUUAAUUUAUAGUGACCAAAAAAAAAAAAAAAAAAAAAAAAAAAAAAAAGGAAUAAA